GGAGAGGAGGGCUCGCAGGCGCUGAUAUGUCCGCCAUCUUGGAGCGUCGGUGAUGGUGGCGAGCGGUGGCUUUCCCGCCUGAGCGGAGGCAGCCCGGGGCCUGUGGCGGGGUGACGCUCUUGCUGAGGAAGAAAUCUGCUUCAUCUAAUUCAAUCCUAAUUCAGUCCUGCUAAUCUGCUAAUACUGUAGAUUGAAAGAUUUUUGCUGUUGCCAGGAUACCCUGUAAUGGGCAAGGAGCCUGAGAGAGUACAAAUUCUGUUUUUUAACUUUUGUUAAAGCUUUUGUUUAACAGGGAACAUGUUUUAAAGUGUUUUGAUUUUGUGCCAGGAAGUGUAUCAGCUGCCCAGCCUCCCAUUCUUUGAAGAGUUUCAAAGCAAAUGUGUUCAUGAAUUGACAUACAUUAGGACCUGGGCUGCUGUUGAAAAGUGAUGGAAUAAUCUCCGGCUGGCACCUGACAUGCUGGGGGAGCAUCCCUAAAAGAGCUUGCCUGGGAGACAGUUUGGGAAAUAACGCAGUGACAUGUUUGCAGUAACCAGCAUGUUUUGGAAAUUUGAUCUCCAUUCGUCAUCCCACAUAGAUACACUUCUAGAGAGAGAAGAUGUAACACUGAAGGAGUUGAUGGAUGAGGAGGACGUCCUGCAGGAGUGCAAGGCUCAGAAUCGCAAACUUAUCGAGUUUCUGUUGAAGUCAGAAUGCUUGGAAGACUUGGUUUCAUUCAUUAUCGAAGAACCACCUCAAGACAUGGAUGAAAAAAUACGAUACAAAUAUCCAAACAUAUCCUGUGAGCUGCUCACUUCAGAUGUCUCACAGAUCAAUGAUAGGCUGGGAGAAGAAGAAUCCUUACUUAUGAAACUGUACAGCUUCCUCUUAAAUGAAUCUCCUCUAAACCCUUUACUUGCCAGUUUCUUCAGCAAGGUGCUAAGUAUUCUCAUAAGCAGAAAACCAGAACAGAUUGUGGACUUUUUAAAGAAGAAACAUGAUUUUGUAGACCUUGUUAUUAAGCACAUAGGGACCUCUGCUAUCAUGGACUUGCUGCUCAGGCUACUGACUUGCAUAGAGCCUCCACAGCCCAGGCAAGAAGUGUUGAAUUGGCUAAAUGAAGAGAGGAUUAUCCAGCGGCUUGUAGAAAUUGUACAUCCAUCUCAAGAUGAAGAUAGACAUUCAAAUGCAUCGCAGUCACUCUGUGAAAUUAUUCGUUUAAGCAGAGAUCAGAUGUUACAAGUGCAGAACAGCUCAGAACCAGAUCCCCUGCUUGCAAGUCUAGAGAAACGAGAAAUCAUUGAGCAGCUGCUGUCUAAUAUUUUUCAUAAAGAAAAAAAUGAAUCUGCAAUAGUCAGUGCAAUCCAAAUAUUACUGACCUUGCUUGAGACGAGACGACAGACAUUUGAAGGCCAUAUAGAGAUCUGUCCUCCAGGCAUGAGCAAUUCAACGUAUUCUGUCAAUAAAAGUGUUCUAGAAGCCAUAAAAGCACGACUUUCAUCCUUCCAUGAACUCCUACUUGAGCCUCCAAAAAAAAGUGUAAUGAAGACAACGUGGGGUGUAUUGGACCCACCUGUGGGGAACACACGUUUAAAUGUGAUUAGAUUAAUAUCUAGCCUUCUACAGACAAAUACAAGCAGCGUGAAUCAGGAGCUUAUAGAACUAAACAGCAUAGGCGUUAUACUGGACAUGUUCUUUAAGUAUACGUGGAAUAACUUUUUGCAUACUCAAGUAGAAAUCUGUAUUGCAUUGAUUCUUGCAAGUCCUCUUGAAAGCACAGAAAAUGGCACAAUUACAGAUCAGGAUUCCACUGGGGACAAUCUUUUAUUGAAACAUCUCUUCCUUAAGUGCCAAUUAAUAGAACGAAUACUUGAAGCAUGGGAGAUGAAUGAGAAGAAGCAGGCUGAAGGAGGAAGACGGCACGGCUAUAUGGGUCAUCUGACAAGGAUAGCAAACUGUAUUGUGCAUAGUACAGAUAAGGGCCCUAACAGCACGUUAGUCCAGCAGCUUAUCAAAGAGCUUCCAGAGGAGGUCAGAGAGCGGUGGGAGACAUUCUGUACGAGCUCUUUAGGAGAAACUAACAAAAGGAAUACGGUGGAUCUUGUCACUACCUGCCACAUUCAUUCUUCCAGUGACGAUGAGAUUGACUUCAAAGAAACUGGCUUCUCACAGGAUUCUUCUUUGCAGCAAGCCUUUUCUGAUUAUCAGAUGCAACAAAUGACGUCCAAUUUUAUUGACCAGUUUGGCUUCAACGAUGAGAAGUUUGCUGAUCAAGAUGACAUCGGCAAUGUUUCUUUUGAUCGGGUCUCAGACAUCAACUUUACCCUCAAUACAAAUGAAAGUGGCAAUAUAGCAUUGUUUGAGGCAUGCUGUAAGGAGCGGAUACAGCAGUUUGAUGAUGGUGGUUCUGAUGAAGAAGACAUCUGGGAAGAAAAACAUAUUGCAUUCACACCAGAGUCCCAGAGACGUUCCAGUUCGGGCAGUACGGACAGUGAAGAAAGUACUGACUCUGAAGAAGAGGAUGGAACAAAGCAAGAUUUGUUUGAAUCACAUGCCAAUACGGAGGACAAAAUGGAAGUAGACUUAAAUGAACCACCCAAUUGGUCGGCUAACUUUGAUGUGCCCAUGGAGACUGCGCAUGGUACCAAUCUGGAUUCUGUUGGGUCUGAUGUGUGGAGUACAGAAGAACCUAUGCCAGCCAAAGAAACUGGCUGGGCUUCUUUUUCAGAGUUCACAUCCUCUUUGAGCUCGACAGAUUCCUUAAGAAGUAAUUCUCCCGUGGAAAUGGAAACAAACACAGAGCCAAUGGAUCCCUUGAGCGCAAAUGCAGCUGGUCUUCCAACACAGCUGGAAACCCCAGGAAGUGUUGCUAUGGAGGCCAGCUCAGAUGGAGAAGAGGAUGGAGAAAAUACAGACAAGGUAACAGAAACAGUAAUGAAUGGCAGCAUGAAGGAGACGCUGAGCCUUACUGUAGAUGCUAAAACUGAAACGGCUGUUUUCAAAAGAGUGUUGAAAUCCUAUCGUGAGGAAGGAAAAUUGUCUACCUCGCAGGAUGCUUCUUGUAAAUAUGUGGUAGAGGAGAACGCAGAGGUUGCGGAAGAGGCUCCUUCAGCUUUGCAGCCCACUAACAGCAGUCCAGAACAGAGUGUUUUUAGUGCUUAGCAGCCAAAGACUUAGCUAGGGGGACUCCUGCUGGUCAUGUGCAUGUAGAGCACGGACCCAAGAGUGGCUUCUCUGUGAUGUACACCAUCAGAGAACAGGAGUUACAGGACUGAUCAACGCACCCUUUUAGGAGAGACAUCUGUUAAUGGCCCUGUAUGAUAUGUGAUGUCUGCUGCCUUGGCUGAAGAAAAUGAACUGAUACCCGGGGGUUUGAGCGUUUCUUGAGGAUUUCAUCUAGAGCCUGUUGAAGCCAGUUACUGCUGCACUAAUUUUGCAAGGGAUCAGGACCAGCAACAUUUAUAUUCUAGAUUUUAAGACAUUGUACAGAAAUUCAUAAGUGUAAAAAUAUUGCACAUUGAGAAAUACCAAUAAUUUUUGCGUAUGUUUAUAUUGUAUUGUUCUAAUUAACGGGUGGCCUGUGAAAUAAGAUCCUGCCACCCAUGUAAUGAUGACAGUAGUGUUACUAUAGUUAAAAAUGGCUGUAAGAAUAGUUUUAUAAAAAAAAAAAAAGUGAAUACACAAAUCUAAUGUAUUUGAGACAUAACUAUUUGAUGAUUAGUGUGACCAAAGUAUUUAGCAGUUUUUCAUACAUUUUUCACCUUGUAAAAAGAAGGAAAAAAAAAAAAAAAAACAACCAAAAAAAAAAAACCCCACACCUGAAAUUCAUGUUUCUUCCAGGUUGGCGAAGAAUUGUAGAACUGAAAUGCCCUAUAUACGUUAUUUUGGUUGUUUUAGCUUACAGAAGUGAUUUAAAUGAGAAUUUUGGUGUUCAACAUUUUACAACAGGUUUUUUUAAUUGGUAAUUGUUUUCUGUAUUGUUUAAGACAGAUCAAAAAUGUAAGUCUAUUGGUAGAGAUUUUAAGUAUUUAUUGCUACGACUUAGUUGACAAAUUGAUGUUACUGUAAAGCCAUAUGUUCUGUUAAGUCUUGUUUGCUUGAAACAAUACCUUACAGGUGAAACACUAGGAUAUUUGAGGUGCACAUGGCUUGUUGUGUUAAGUGAUUCACCUGCCUUUUAACCCGUUCACCAAGAUUUACUUUACUCCCCAGCAUUACACAACGGAACAUUUCAGAACAAUCUGCGUAUUGAAAACGCUGUAAUCCUCUUAGACGAGUCCAGUACAUGAAAUGCCCGUGCUGCUAAUGUAAUUACAGUACACGCAUUUUAAAAGUAUAUAGUGUUCUUUUAAUACCGAUUUUGGCAGCAGAGCAUGUUAAUUGUUACUUUCACUGUACUGAUCUGUGUGAGGCUUUCAUUUGUAUGUUCUAAACCAGUUUUUUUCGCAGCUGGUUUGUGUAUAUAUAUAUAGUGAUUAUGGAAACUAAUUCUGUGUAAUUUAUAAUUUUCUAUGUCAGUGUACAAUUCCAACAGCCUUCUCAAACAAACGGAAGCAAUAUUCUGUAUAUUGCCACAUUGUCUGGUGAAAGGGUUAAAGUACUUCACCUCCUGCACUUUUAGAUGCAAAUCCAUUUUUAUUUCUGUAAUAAUUAUAUUCAUUUAUUUUUACAUCAUUUGUUCUCCUGACCAGUAUUUAAAGCCAAAAGGAUACUCUAAACAAUGGCCAAUGAUUUAUUUUAGAAAGCGUCCCAAGCAACGUGCCUAAACAUUACAUUGCAUACAGAAAUAAAAAAAAAGGAAAAAAGUCCAAUGGCAUUGCACUUACUGCUUCCUGUCUUGCAUUUUCCUCAGAAGAUUUUAGUAGCAACUUGUUGCAAACUCAGCUGUAUGAAAACGGAGAAAGAAAACAUUAUGAUAGAAGGACUUGGAAGCUAUAGUUGCCUUUCUAUUUGUACCUUAUAAAUGAUGGAAUUGAGUCUGUUUAUGUUGUUUAAUUGCAGAAUUGCUUCCAGAUGCACCUUUUCUGAAAGUGUUAUCUAUUAAUGGUGAGGUUGGCAGUUGUCCUUUCAUCACUUUCUUACCUGUUUUGGAAACAGAAGUGUUCACUUCAGUGCAGGAAUUGCAGUGCAGCUGUAAAUCCCACGUGCAGGAGAGCAGUGUGGUGUCUCCUUCUGUCCUUUCCAGUGAAGUGAUUUGUCCCUCGCUAGCAAGGUGCCAUCACUUCUUACGUAGCCAGGAGGAGUGAAGGUGGUACUGACAGUGUCACUCAUUAACUGUAUUUCAGCCCUGUUGCCUGCAGUUCAGCCAAACCUUGUAGUUUGUCCUUCCUUCUGAUAGUGAACUGAUGUGACAGUUUGCUACUUAGUUCAUGCAGGAGAUCAAAAUUGAAAAGAAGUGUUCUGUCUCCUUUCCCUCCAUUCCCACCAUGUGCUUUCAGGUGAGUAGAGAUGUGAUGGUGAUAAAUGCAGAUUGCUCUGUCAGCGUAGUCUGCCUUCUGUCUAAAAGGUGUGCUAGGGAGAAGGUAAGCCAACCUACUUUAUGCUGAUUCUAGUGGUCUGAUUCUGAGCUACUGCACUUGCUGUUAAGUUGGGAGGUGUGUUAAACCUGGGAUUUAAACUAGAUUUGAUGUAGCGAGCUUGUUCUGAGGUCUGUGGUAUGUUUUGCCCACAAGUACAUUGCUUGUACUGGAAACCCUGAACUUGAAGGGAAAGCUUUGGCAGUAAAGGGAAAUCCUGCAUCAUCUCAAUGGCUCUGUUACCCAAUCUGUUCAAUCAAAUUUGACUUGACGGAGUAACAUCCAGUACCUGUGUAUGGGCUUGACUUCCUGCAGUUCUGCAGUAUCCAGUAGCAGUUAGCCAGUCGUAGCAAGCUUACUGCAACCUUGUUCUGAACGCUCGUGUUGCAGCAUAUCACUGUGCUCGUGGCAAUGACUGCAGGUGCAGUCACUGAAAACGGGGGUACUGUGGCAUAUGAAAGGACUUCUACAGGCAUUGCCAGACCAGCAGUAUGUGCAGUAGCUCCCAGCCCUGUCAGACCUGUCUCCGUUACCUGGUAGAAUGGAUGAAUCUCACCACCUUGAUUGGUUACAUCAGUGCAAACCUUUGUUAAAAGUAUAAGCCUUGUCUGAAGUUUUUCAGCAAGGUUAUUCCGUUGAAAUAAAGGUAUAAGCUUGAUUAAUAAUAUGACGCCGUCUGUUGAGUGAGUUGACAGGUAUUCACUGACAGCAGGACAGCUGAAGUAAUCUCAUUAAGUCCUUGUAAAUUCAACUCAUUUUAACCAUGCUUUGGAGUGGAGUUUCUCUUUCGGCUAGUAAGCUUUUGUCUCUCAAACUGUUCUGCAUUGUCAGCUGCACGCUGUGAAAACUCACGGUGACGUUCCCAUGAGGAGGUAAGAAAGACGUAGGAAGAUAAAUUUUUCAUAAUGAACUUAUGUUCCUGUUGAAAUUAGUUUUAAUUUCCUUGGAGAUUACUUUGUUUUGACAUAUACUUUAUGCAGUUAGGAAGUAUUUACUGUGUAUAACUGGCUGUUAAUAUACUUCAGCAUCACCUCUGGCCAGUAGUGCAAUGCAGUAUGAGCGCUUCAGGCUCUACUGUAGAUGUGUGCAUUGUUUCUCAAAAUCAGAAUGGAAAUUAAAAGAGAAUGUGGGAACAACCAGCUUUUUUUUUUUAAGCUUCUGUCUUAUUUUUUGCAUCUUAUUUUCUAUCAAAUAAGGCACCGACAUCCUUCUGUGCCAUUAUUGUUAGAAUUAAGGUUACAGUAUAGAGAAAGCAUAAGCCCAUAGAAUUAAAAAGAUUCUUAGUGUAAAAAUAGAAGCAUUCAACUUGUGUUUGUGACAUCAUGGGAAGUCCCACCGUAAUUCUUCCUCUUCUGCUACAGGCUAAAGCAGAGAACUGUGCUCAGCUAGUAGUAUUUUUCAACAUUUCUCUCUCCUGUAGAUGAGUCAGGGUUACUGUCUGAUGCAUUUCUUUCUCUCUGAAUCAGCAGGUACUGAGCAACAUGAGCUCAGAUUACCUUUAGUUCAUCAGCCUGGCCUUAGCUAAAAUAAUGUAAUCCUGAUUCCAAGACCUCCUUCAAGAGGAGUGUUCUCGUUUCUCAUUUCCUAUGAGUGCUGGUGGGUGCCUUUUCUGCGAUCUGUGUUCUCUGCAUCUUGAAAUUCAGAUUCUGAAGACUCUUAACUUAAAUCACACUUAUCUGUUCUGCAUGUGAUGUGCAGUCACCUGAACCUUGUCUUGCUGCUGAGUCAGGUUUCUCAGAUGCAGCUUGCCCAGUCGCUCAGACUGAGCUGCCUGUCUCACUGUUUUAGUCUGUGAAUGAUCACGUUGGUGGUUGUUUCUCAAGGAAGUCACAGUGUUGCCUCGUCUUUCUCAAAAGGAACCUGAACCUCUUAUUUACAGGAUGUGUGACUUUUUCUGCUUUUGCUGGUUGGAAGAAUUGCACAUGACUAAUGGUAGGUUCUUCCCUUCCCCUUUUUAUCUAAGCCAGUUUUCUGUUAGAGGCCACAAUUUCAUUUUGGGUAGUAGGUUAACCUGGUUCAUCUGCUGAGGUCCUGAAGCUUGAUGAUGUCUACCUGACAAAUAAAACCUGUUGUUCCUCGUGCCAAACAAAAAUGAGUGGCAGGAAAAUCACUCGUUGUUGUUGUUUUUCCUACUGGAAGAUCUGAAGUGUUGACUGUCAUCUAAUGGUUCCUGUAUCAGACAAUGAGAUGAGAUAGCUAACAUGAGCCUAGAGGCUGUGUCUGCUGAGAUUGAGGUGACCUUGUUUCUCCAGAGCACUAUAUCAAUUAUCUGUGUCCUUAUAAAAACGCUUAUUAAUCACUUGGUUUAAAAGAUUAUUUAAAAAAAAAAAAAAAAGGCUGAAGGUGGUUAUUCUGUAUUCUCUGCUAGACCAUCAUUGAGAUGUGCUUUCAAAUGAGGAGAGUUUACUGGAGAACAGGAGAGUUCUGCUCUGGAGUGAGCCGUACAGGACUUGUGCAUGUUGGUCAGCCAACGUUCAAAAUGGAAGGGGUUAUAAAGAGGAGUUUGGGGAUGUUGAUGUAUCUACAGAAUCGCAUCCUUCUAUUUUGCUGUAGUUUCCUCAGAAUUAAGAAUUGAGAAGCCGAAGGGCAAACUGAGUGUGCAGCUUUUUUUUUAAUGCUGGCACUGGUAUGUCUGGUUUAAAGUACUUUGAAGACAUAAUUCUCUGUACUUGUGAUGUGGAAGCUGACAUCAAGUUAGUUAUUGUUAUUUACCCGAUUCAUGCAAUAUACCCAAGCACAUCAGAGAACUUUUAAUCUGUGUACAUGGAGAUACACUCACAUGUGUGAGUAAAGUACAUUUUCUUAUGCAGCCAGGUGCCAUGUAAGUGGUGCAUAUCCUAAAUGCACUCAGCUCUACAAUCCUAGGAGGAAGAGGCACGUGUGCACAUGAUUCAGCCCAUACUGGAGUACUUCAGUAAUACAAAAUGUUCUUUAGCUUCUGUCCCUGCAAAUGUUGACACUUCUGUUGGUGUCUGGCCAGCAUGGCUGUAAUUGGAUUUGGGGAAGAGGAGGAACUGAUGCCUCCAGUUCUUGAGGCCAACUUCAACUUUCAUCAAAGAGGGUCCUGCUGUGCUUCCUGUAGGCAUGAAAUACUUGAGCCUUUUUCUUCAUGUGUUUAUGGCUUCUCAGAAACUUAGGUAAGAGAUGGGAUUUCCAGUAUUGGUGACUGAAUCAUCAUGUUGACUUCAUCUAUAAACUUGUACUGGUGCUGUUAAUCUAUUGACAGUUAUGCUUCUGUUCAUGAUAUGUUGGUGAGAUGAUUGAUUUAGCUCUUCCAACAGCUGCCACCAGCAGUUCACAAACAGGUUUACUGUGUGGCUUUGAAUUUGGUAUUGCACAGAUAUGAACUGUUUCUAGCACUCUGUAUGGGAAAGGCAGGGUCUCUGUGGUAUAACAAAGUUCCAGAUGGCUAAGGAAUGUCUAAUGCAAUCCAAAGGAAGUUAACUCACCUGAGUUGUUGCCUGCUGAUCUUUAGGAGCGUUCUUACUCUGUUACAGUGGCUUCUAGCUGUUUGUGCAGAUGACACACUGGGCCUCUCCUGCCUUUGCCAUCGUGGUAUCAAUCUGUGCAAGGACUGCUCGCUGCUGCCUUGCCAUGUGUAGUGGCUGUAGAUGAAACUGAUAAAACAUUGCAGUAAAUAGCAGAGUACCUAAACACUGAAACAAACUUGCUCCUGCAAGAAAUGAAGGAGAGGCAGCACUUGCUAUGUCAGUACUGCCCAGUGCUGCUCAUGGUAAAAGAGCCUUGUUUCCCUUCUGUGUAAGAGCUUGAUCCUUAAUUUCUUGCAGGACAUAAGAGAGCAGUGCUAGAGAUAAGAUUUUUCUACACUCUAAAGAAAAUAAUUACACUUGGGGGGAACAGAUAAGCUGAUUCCAGCUUCUGAUUACUCUUCCACUACGAGUAGCUCUGGCUUUUAUGGCAUUGAGCAGUCUGGGUAAUGUUGUUUUAGGCACACUCUUUUACUUUCAAGGUGUGGCAGAAGUUAGAUUCAGGACCGUGCUGUACAAUCAAAACAUGGAAUUUCACUUCGUUCUUCCUGCUUUAUGAGCCAGUACUUUGCCUCUGGCUGUAGAUGGAGAGCAUUAAUUUUAUUGACUAUUUUUAAUAGUUCUGGGUAAAAUACUAUUCUGAUAGCAAUUGAAAAAGCACACUGUGUCAGUAUUCUUAGUUUGGUAUCGGUGCGAUGUAUUACAUAAAUCAAGGGGGCAGAUGUAACGAAUAAUAACAGUGAGCCAUUGUUACAUGGAUCUGAAGCAUUGAAAUGAGACAGAAGAAGGUUUAGCAUCUUCUGCCUUCUCACAUCAUCAGCUGUCUGUAGGGGUGCACUGCCUUACACCCAACUUUUUCUUCAAAACCAAAAGCUCACUACAGCAAAUCUAUGGAAGGUAGGAAGGGAUUUUUAACUUGAUUUGAUUAUGGAAUUGUAGUCUUUGCUGAGAAAUGCUGAGUCCAAUGUCUGAUUGGCACACGUGUAGCCAUAAAAUUAUGUUGGCUAAAACUGGAUGCUAGGGAAAAUUAGCUAAGGAAUACAUGUAAAAGUCAGCUACAGAAUUUGAGGACAGUUUCAUGCUUUCAAAAAUUGUAAUAUUUGAACAGAGAACACAGAAAGCUGUGUCAAUUCCAGCCAUCCACUAAGUACAGCUUAGGAGAAGCGCUUGUAGAAAUCGGUGGUAGGUAAGGGAAGGGAGAACAGAAUCUCCAAAUAGGAAAGAGUUGUGCAAGAAGGACAGCAGGAAACCUUGGUCUCUGAAGCUGCGCUUUGCAGCGCUGGAUUCUUGGCGAUAUAAUGCCUGUCUGUUUGGAUCGAUUCAACAUCAGCAGUUGUUCUAUUCACAGCUGAAAGUUUGCCUGCAAUGAAGAGGGCAAAAGCUGGGAAGUUUGUGAUCCUGAAGGUAAUUCUUUGCAAAUUUCUGAAAUAAAUUUAAGUGGAUCUUUUGGCUCAUCUGCUCUACUGGGAAAUCCAGCUUGUGGCCUAAAUUGAUUAGAUGGAUGUUCUGUUGCAGCUGAUCCACAUCCUGUAGGAGGGGAUAGCUGGCUAUAUGCGAAAGGAGGAAAAUCCACUCCUAUUAAUUGAAAUCAAAUAGUUCAGAAUGAGUGCCCUGGCCAUCCCUGACGUCGUGUUCUCCACCAUGCGCUUCUUCACUUUCAAAAAAGAAAAUAAACUUUUCUAUCAUUUACUGUAAUAAAAUAAUCUUUGAUAAAAUAACAUAGGAAAGAAAACCAAUGCAGACAACAGACAAGUGAUUUAAAACAGAUGUGAAAUUCCCUCUGUGUAGAAAAUUAUAGGCACUGGUGAUGACAUUAGACACGUAUGACUAAUCAGACUUAAUGCUGGCUGUUGCCAAUUAGCCCUAUUAGCACAAGCAAUUUGAGCACAGGAUGACAUUACUUUAAUUACUGUAAGCAGCUUGUUCAUUUAUUGAGCAGCGUGCAUUCAGAAAAGGGUUACUCUGCAAAUUAAUCAUAACCUUCAUCAUUAGAAAUUCAGGAAAACUGAGGGAAGAAAGACUUCAACCCCCCCAGAAAGAGGGAAAAAGGGGUGAUGGAAGUCUGAUGGUAAUUUUGGUAUUUUGCUACUAUUCUUUUUUGAUAAAAAGACAAAAGCCAUUGUAUGAUUUCUGUCUAAAAUCUGUAUAUGAGUGGGACAAAAUUGCUGCCAUUAGAGUUAAGGCAAAGACAUUAUGACCAUUAGGUGGUAGCAAUGCAAAAAAAAAAGAAA